GGUUUCUUAGUGUAGUGGUUAUCACAUUAACUGAAAAGGUACUCAAUUAAGACGUCAGUUCAAAUCUGGCAGAAACCG